UGACAUACCACUUGUUGCCUCGGCGGAUCAGCCCGCUCCCGGUAAAACGGGACGGCCCGCCAGAGGACCCCUAAAACUCUGUUUCUAUAUGUAACUUCUGAGUAAAACCAUAAAUAAAUCAAAACUUUCAACAACGGAUCUCUUGGUUCUGGCAUCGAUGAAGAACGCAGCAAAAUGCGAUAAGUAAUGUGAAUUGCAGAAUUCAGUGAAUCAUCGAAUCUUUGAACGCACAUUGCGCCCGCCAGUAUUCUGGCGGGCAUGCCUGUUCGAGCGUCAUUUCAACCCUCAAGCACAGCUUGGUGUUGGGACUCGCGUUAAUUCGCGUUCCUCAAAUUGAUUGGCGGUCACGUCGAGCUUCCAUAGCGUAGUAGUAAAACCCUCGUUACUGGUAAUCGUCGCGGCCACGCCGUUAAACCCCAACUUCUGAAUGUUGACCUCGGAUCAGGUAGGAAUACCCGCUGAACUUAAGCAUAUCAAUAA
rnacentral:rRNA from 2 species